UACAGAGGUCUCAAGCGUUGUUCGGAUUCAUUGGGCGUAAAGGGUGCGUAGGCGGCGCGGUAAGUCGGGUGUGAAAGUCGGGGGCUCAACCCUCGGAUGCCGGUGGAUACUGUCGGGCUUGAGUACGGAAGAGGCGAGUGGAAUUCCUGGUGUAGCGGUGAAAUGCGCAGAUAUCAGGAGGAACACCAAUUGCGAAGGCAGCUCGCUGGGACGUUACUGACGCUGAGACGCGAAAGCGUGGGGAGCAAACAGG
rnacentral:rRNA from 1 species